UCUCACAAUGUCAGGGAAGUUUGUGCAGGAAGGUAAUAUGCAAUUUCUGCUCUGCUAUAGGGCUGGCUCCUUGGGAACCAGUUUUAAUAUCCCUUUUUAAAUAUACCCUCAGAAUCACAAAAUAAUUAAGCAAAAUAAUUUGUUGCUCUUGGGGGUUAUAGCGAUAAUUCUCUUGAGUCGUUUUUCCACUUAGCUUCUUUGAUUGACUCCAAAUACUACAGCACCACACCCUUCUAGACUGGUGGAUGCACAGCUCCACUUCUUUGCAGGGAGGACGCACAACAGCAGAAUAUCCGUGGCCCAACUUUCUGGAGUAUCAGUAUUACUACAAGAUUUGGAAGAAGCAAAGUUAGGUCAUUUCCAAGGUUCUCCGCCACCAACUUCCAUAACCAUCAGGAUAUUCUACAACUUCUGCAAGAAUAACAAUUUUACCUUACACUGUACUUAUCUCAUGUGGUUUAAAACAUCCAGAAAUCAUUGAUAAACACACCCUGCCCAAACUAAAGCAUGGUGGUGUCACAUUAGAACACCCUCAUCUCUGAAGAUCUUUGCAUUACGGAACUCUACCUUGGUCC